AUUGAACGCUGGCGGCAGGCCUAACACAUGCAAGUCGAACGAGUGGCGGACGGGUGAGUAAUGUCUGGGAAACUGCCCGAUGGAGGGGGAUAACUACUGGAAACGGUAGCUAAUACCGCAUACCAUCGGAUGUGCCCAGAUGGGAUUGGCUUGUAGGUGGGGUAACGGCUCACCUAGGCGACGAUCCCUAGCUGGUCUGAGAGGAUGACCAGCCACAUGGGAACGGAGAAACGUGCCAGACUCCUACGGGAGGCAGCAGUGGGGAAUAUUGCACAAUGGGCGCAAGCCGGAUGCAGCCAUGCCGCGUGUAUGAAGAAGGCCGUCGGGUUGUAAAGUACUUUCAGCGGGGAGGCGUUACCCGCAGAAGAAGCACCGGCUAACUCCGUGCCAGCAGCCGCGGUAAUUC
rnacentral:rRNA from 1 species